UAUUCACACUUCUAAUCUAACAAAUGCAACUUCGCACCAAUUUAAAAAUUGCGACUUUCAUAUCGCAACUUGUAAGUAGAAGUUACAAUGCAAACAUAUAUGGAAUUCCAGUGAAUAAAAAUUAUACUUCAAACAGCGAAAUUGGCAAAAGUAAAUGUAAAUUUAAAUUUUAACAGAAAUGUUAUUUUAUUGGACGAAGCUUUCAGUCUCAAUAAAAAAUGUUCCAACAUGAAACUAUUCUGGUCUUUCAAAAGUGUUUUGGACAAAAUUAGUGUUGUAUUUUAUCUAUGUGUUUACAUAUGUAAAUAUUUACUGUAACUAUUAUAAAAUAAGGCAGGUAUUUCAAUGGCAACUUGAAACAAUUUGUUCUGCUUAAAAUGAAGUAAUUUAUAUUGAACGAAUUUGGUCUUAAAGUGGAGAAGGGCAUGAAAUUUCGUCCGGCUCAAAUCGGCAGUGGAUUUUAGGAAUGUUUCAAAAUUAAAAGAUCAUAGAAUUCCCAUUUUAAAUAGUUUAAAAUUUUUCAGUGGUGCAAUAUCGAAGAGAUUCCAUUAGGUUUUCUUACUCAAUUGAAAAUUCACUUCUGAGAACUUUCUCCUUUACCUCUUUAAGAAUGAUUCGAUAGCCUUCAGAAUGCAUUAGAAUAUACUUCUGAUAUCCAGAUAAAACCCGAAAGAAAUAUUCAUAAUCUUCGAAUAUCCUAUGCAAGCGGCCUCUAAGCGGCGAGAUUGCUGCAAUUAUGUGGUCAUUACUUGGUAUUGUCUAAUGCAGUAGAUGAGAGAAUCUUUGCCAUUUGUCACCUGAUGUUAAGGAAAAGAGAGAAUAAAUAUGAAUGUGGCAACUUUUGGGGAAAAAUAGCAACUUGUAUUAUCUUCAGUUUGUACUGCAUUAUUUAUACCAAACGUUUUCCUAUUGAUUCAUCUGGAUUCAUUGUCAGUUGAAAUUGGUACCAUUUACUGGGAAGUGACAAUAUCCAAUGUCACUUUGCUGUUCCACCUGGAGACAAACAUUUUAUUGAGAGCAGACAACUGGAUAGCCAAGAAUCCAUAUUUCAUGAUAUACUGAAAUGAUAUUGGUUGGUAAAUUUAGAACCUGAUUUACUGCGGAAUAAAGGCAUGGCAUCUACAAGGAGCAAGACUGCUUUUUACGUUCCAUAUGACUUAUAAAUUAGAUUCAAAAAAGUAUUUUAAGAUGACUUGUAGCAAUGGAAAUUCAAGAUCAGUUACAGCAUUCAACUUUCACAUGAAAUACGGAGGAAUUCAAGUACCUGUAUUCAUUCUGUGUAUAUAGGGGGCCGAAGUAAUCCAGAAUCUGAGAAUGAAAUCGGCAUUCGACAUCCAUGUGUUCAAUUGGGAACCUCUUCAGGAGUUGAAUCAGUUAGUACAAAAAAAUGAUUCAGGUAAAUUUGCUUUGCUUUUCUGUACGGCCUGAAGGUAAGUUAUUUUCUGAGAAACGAAUAAACUGUAUUAAUAUUGGUAUCGAGAAAUAUUCUGUCAACUUCAAUAUUGUAGUAGUUAACGUAUUCAUAAAUUAUUGAAGCUACUGAAAUGUAAUCGCGUAUCUCAACAUGACGAUCCUUAAUUUUCCCUAAGCUACAAAAUGAAAAUUGAAUGUUUUUAACGAAACUUCAUAUUGCGUUUGUAUAUAAGGUAGUGCCCAUUUGGAGGAAAUUUUGAAUUUUUAAACAUAAGCUGUAUUUGUUACUAGAGGUUAAUUAGUGCUAUUUAUUUUAAAUCUGCAUAUAAAUGAAGAAAAAUUGAGGUACCAGCUCUAUAUUAAAAAUAGCAUGUUUAGAUAAAUUGUUUUACAAAUUUGUUUGAUACUGCGAUAUUUUUUACUGCCAACGGAUAUUCUGAGCUUUCAAAACAUUUCCUAAGAAACGUGGAUAAGUAUUUAGUUCCAUAAAUAAGGUUAUCGGAAUAAAUUCCUUUUCAUACUUCAAAUUAUCUAUGUAGUGUAAAGAAUUUUUGCUCUUUAAUUCUACUGCGUUUAUUGUAUUUUUGGUGCUUGGAUUCGAAUUGGUUCAUCUACAUAUGUAAUACUUUCAGAUGUCUGCUAACAUGACUUAACCGAGAUCAGCACAGCGAAAUAACACUCUCGUCGAGCGCAUUUUGGCGUUAUAUUUUACAGUUAUGGAUGGAGAGCCCACAGAUACAGCUGACUAUCUAUAUCAAUUUAUAUCGUGCUAAAAAUGUCCGAUUACGAAUAAAGGUCCACAGAGCUGAAUUAUUAAUAUAUAGCUCAUCUCCACUGUGCAAAUUCUAUACCCGUGUGUUCCUGACAUAAAUUCUACGGGUAGUAGCAAUCUGGAUUGUCAUACCUUAUCUCUUGGGUACCAACUUGGGAAAUCGGUUGGAGGUCUUACGUCCUAAAAUUAUUUUGUUAAAUAAAGUCUUGCCAUCCACAACCAGAAGAUCGACUACAUUUACAACUCAUUCUUCAUGAAUUGACACAAUUUAUGCUGGAUACAGGAAACAGAUGACACCGAAAUAGAAAAACAUACAAUGCCUUUUAACAACCAUUACCACGGAAGAAUCGUGAACCUUCAUCGAAUGCAUUUUUGAAUUCGCCCACAAUUCUCCUGGAGAAGCUUUGAAGAUGCAGGUGAUCCAGUUGAGCUCUUGUAAAGCUUGCGAUUCAUUUCAAGCACUGUCAUCAAAGAUUAGUAUAAAAUUACCAUCAUGUGAACAGUCUGAACAGGAGAAAUGUUAUUGCGAUCUGCGUUAUUUCUGAAUAUCCAUAAAUCUUUAAAAUGUUUGCUCC